rnacentral:tRNA from 1 species
GUGGCUGUGGCUCAGUGGUAGAGCGCUCGCCCAGGAUGCGUGAGACACUGGGUUCCAUCCGCAGCCCCG